UUACGGCCACAACACGUUGAAACACCGGUUCCCCUGUGAUCGCCGAAGUUAGGCAACGUUGAGCCUGGUCAGUACCUAAAUGGGUGACUGUCUGG